rnacentral:rRNA from 1 species
CAGGCUUAACACAUGCAAGUCGAGGGGCAGCAUGGUCUUAGCUUGCUAAGGCCGAUGGCGACCGGCGCACGGGUGAGUAACACGUAUCCAACCUGCCGUCUACUCUUGGACAGCCUUCUGAAAGGAAGAUUAAUACAAGAUGGCAUCAUGAGUCCGCAUGUUCACAUGAUUAAAGGUAUUCCGGUAGACGAUGGGGAUGCGUUCCAUUAGAUAGUAGGCGGGGUAACGGCCCACCUAGUCUUCGAUGGAUAGGGGUUCUGAGAGGAAGGUCCCCCACAUUGGAACUGAGACACGGUCCAAACUCCUACGGGAGGCAGCAGUGAGGAAUAUUGGUCAAUGGGCGAGAGCCUGAACCAGCCAAGUAGCGUGAAGGAUGACUGCCCUAUGGGUUGUAAACUUCUUUUAUAAAGGAAUAAAGUCGGGUAUGGAUACCCGUUUGCAUGUACUUUAUGAAUAAGGAUCGGCUAACUCCGUGCCAGCAGCCGCGGUAAUACGGAGGAUCCGAGCGUUAUCCGGAUUUAUUGUGUUUAAAGGGAGCGUAGAUGGAUGUUUAAGUCAGUUGUGAAAGUUUGCGGCUCAACCGUAAAAUUGCAGUUGAUACUGGAUAUCUUGAGUGCAGUUGAGGCAGGCGGAAUUCGUGGUGUAGCGGUGAAAUGCUUAGAUAUCACGAAGAACUCCGAUUGCGAAGGCAGCCUGCUAAGCUGCAACUGACAUUGAGGCUCGAAAGUGUGGGUAUCAAACAGGAUUAGAUACCCUGGUAGUCCACACGGUAAACGAUGAAUACUCGCUGUUUGCGAUAUACUGCAAGCGGCCAAGCGAAAGCGUUAAGUAUUCCACCUGGGGAGUACGCCGGCAACGGUGAAACUCAAAGGAAUUGACGGGGGCCCGCACAAGCGGAGGAACAUGUGGUUUAAUUCGAUGAUACGCGAGGAACCUUACCCGGGCUUAAAUUGCAGAUGAAUUACGGUGAAAGCCGUAAGCCGCAAGGCAUCUGUGAAGGUGCUGCAUGGUUGUCGUCAGCUCGUGCCGUGAGGUGUCGGCUUAAGUGCCAUAACGAGCGCAACCCUUGUUGUCAGUUACUAACAGGUUCCGCUGAGGACUCUGACAAGACUGCCAUCGUAAGAUGUGAGGAAGGUGGGGAUGACGUCAAAUCAGCACGGCCCUUACGUCCGGGGCUACACACGUGUUACAAUGGGGGGUACAGAGGGCUGCUACCACGCGAGUGGAUGCCAAUCCCCAAAACCUCUCUCAGUUCGGACUGGAGUCUGCAACCCGACUCCACGAAGCUGGAUUCGCUAGUAAUCGCGCAUCAGCCACGGCGCGGUGAAUACGUUCCCGGGCCUUGUACACACCGCCCGUCAAGCCAUGGGAGCCGGGGGUACCUGAAGUGCGUAACCGCGAGGAGCGCCCUAGGGUAAAACUGGUGACUGGGGCUAA